rnacentral:rRNA from 1 species
UACGUAGGUGGCAAGCGUUGUCCGGAAUUAUUGGGCGUAAAGAGCGCGUAGGCGGUCCGAUAAGUCGGCUGUGAAAGUCUAAGGCUCAACCCUGGAAAGCCGGCCGAUACUGUCGGACUAGAGUCCGGAAGAGGCAAGUGGAAUUCCCGGUGUAGCGGGUGAAAUGCGGCAGAUAGUCGGGAGGAACACCAAUGGCGAAGGCAGCUUGCUGGGACGGUACUGACGCUGAGGCGCGAAAGCGUGGGAGCAACA